rnacentral:rRNA from 1 species
AGUGAACGCUGGCGGUAGGCCUAACACAUGCAAGUCGAACGGCAGCACAGUAAGAGCUUGCUCUUACGGGUGGCGAGUGGCGGACGGGUGAGGAAUACAUCGGAAUCUACUUUUUCGUGGGGGAUAACGUAGGGAAACUUACGCUAAUACCGCAUACGACCUACGGGUGAAAGCAGGGGAUCUUCGGACCUUGCGCGAUUGAAUGAGCCGAUGUCGGAUUAGCUAGUUGGCGGGGUAAAGGCCCACCAAGGCGACGAUACGUAGCUGGUCUGAGAGGAUGAUCAGCCGCACUAGAACUGAGACAGGGUCCAGACUCCUACGGGAGGCAGCAGUGGGGAAUAUUGGGCAAUGGGCGCGAGCCUGAUCCAGCCAUACCGCGUGGGUGAAGAAGGCCUUCGGGUUGUAAAGCCCUUUUGUUGGGAAAGAAAAGCAGCAGGUUAAUACCCCGCUGUUCUGACGGUAACCAAAGAAUAAGCACCGGCUAACUUCGUG